rnacentral:rRNA from 1 species
GACGAACGCUGGCGGCGUGCUUAACACAUGCAAGUCGAACGGAAAGGCCCUGCUUUUGUGGGGUGCUCGAGUGGCGAACGGGUGAGUAACACGUGAGUAACCUGCCCUUGACUUUGGGAUAACUUCAGGAAACUGGGGCUAAUACCGGAUAGGAGCUCCUGCUGCAUGGUGGGGGUUGGAAAGUUUCGGCGGUUGGGGAUGGACUCGCGGCUUAUCAGCUUGUUGGUGGGGUAGUGGCUUACCAAGGCUUUGACGGGUAGCCGGCCUGAGAGGGUGACCGGCCACAUUGGGACUGAGAGACGGCCCAGACGCCUACGGGAGGCAGCAGUGGGGAAUAUGGCACAAUGGGCGGAAGCCUGAUGCAGCAACGCCGCGUGCGGGAUGACGGCCUUCGGGGUGUAAACCGCUUUCGCCUGUGACGAAGCGUGAGUGACGGUAAUGGGUAAAGAAGCACCGGCUAACUACGUG